GGGGAUGUACUACACUGACUGCAGUUCAUUAGGAAAUUGAGGACAGGAGCACAACUUGGAUGGAAACAAGGAUUAACAGUGAUGGAGCUGCAGUCCCUUGCGCCUGAGAGAAUAUCAACGCAACACAACUCCAUUUAAAGUUAAGCCUCACAGACUUUCACAGGUGCAGAGCCUUCUGUUUACAAGGCAGUGAAGAUAACAUAGUUGCAAACUCACAUGGGAUACGGCUGUCUGUCCGGCAUUAACUGAGAGGACUCCCAAGGGGGAAAGGAAAGGUGACCACCCGGAAUUACUUGACUUGACACAAAUGGAGUCAGGUUGGCUAUCACAAC
rnacentral:lncRNA from 1 species